rnacentral:rRNA from 1 species
AUUGAACGCUGGCGGCAUGCCUUACACAUGCAAGUCGAACGGCAACAGGUCUUCGGAUGCUGACGAGUGGCGAACGGGUGAGUAAUACAUCGGAACGUGCCUAGUAGUGGGGGAUAACUACUCGAAAGAGUGGCUAAUACCGCAUGAGAUCUACGGAUGAAAGCAGGGGAUCGCAAGACCUUGUGCUACUAGAGCGGCCGAUGGCAGAUUAGGUAGUUGGUGGGAUAAAAGCUUACCAAGCCGACGAUCUGUAGCUGGUCUGAGAGGACGAUCGGCCAAACUGGGACUGAAACACGGCCCGGACUCCGACGGGAGGCAGAAGUGGGGAAUUUUGGACAAUGGGCGCAAGCCUGAUCCAGCAAUGCCGCGUGCAGGAUGAAGGGCUUCGGGUUGUAAACUGCUUUUGUACGGUACGAAAAGCCCUGGGUUAAUACCCUGGGGUCAUGACGGUACCGUAAGAAUAAGCACCGGCUAACUACGUGCCAGCAGCCGCGGUAAGAC